GUAUUACUUUAUAUUCAUGAGAUUGGCAAAACCUAAAAUUAGUGAUAUCACCUAUUGAUGGUGAGGAUUCUGAGAAAGAAAACUCUCAUACAUUGCUUGUGGAAAUGUGAAAUAUUAUGGCCUUAUUUUGGGAAAGCAAUCUGGAAAUAUCUAUACAACUUUAAAUAUACUUUUAAGCCAACAAUCUUAUUCUUGGGAACCAACGUGAUAGAAUUUAAAGCAUCAAAACAUUAUAAAGUAUAUACCUAAAUCUUAAAAUUAAUAAUGUUAAUGAAGUAGGAAAAAUGAUUUUAAGUAAGGACAAACAAAAGAAGCAAGAUUGCUAUACAAAUUUUUAGUAGUAAA
rnacentral:lncRNA from 10 species